rnacentral:rRNA from 1 species
CCUACGGGUGGCAGCAGUGGGGAAUAUUGCACAAUGGGGGAAACCCUGAUGCAGCGACGCCGCGUGAGUGAAGAAGUAUUUCGGUACGUAAAGCUCUAUCAGCAGGGAAGAAAAUGACGGUACCUGACUAAGAAGCCCCGGCUAACUACGUGCCAGCAGCCGCGGUAAUACGUAGGGGGCAAGCGUUAUCCGGAUUUACUGGGUGUAAAGGGAGCGUAGACGGCAGCACAAGUCUGGAGUGAAAUGCCGGGGCUUAACCCCGGAACUGCUUUGGAAACUGUGCAGCUGGAGUGCAGGAGAGGUAAGCGGAAGUCCUAGUGUAGCGGUGAAAUGCGUAGAUAUUAGGAGGAACACCAGUGGCGAAGGCGGCUUACUGGACUGUAACUGACGUUGAGGCUCGAAAGCGUGGGGAGCAAACAGGAUUAGAUACCCCUGUAGUC